rnacentral:rRNA from 1 species
UACGUAGGGACCGAGCGUUGUCCGGAAUCAUUGGGCGUAAAGAGCGUGUAGGCGGCCACUUAAGUCCUGCGUGAAAUCUUGCGGCUCAACCGCAAGCGGUCGUGGGAAACUGGGUGGCUAGAGUGCGGGAGAGGAGAGUGGAAUUCCUGGUGUAGCGGUGGAAUGCGCAGAUAUCAGGAAGAACACCGGUGGCGAAGGCGGCGACCUGGUCCGAUACUGACGCUGAGGCGCGAAAGCGUGGGGAGCAAACAGG